UGGGGAAUCUUGCGCAAUGGCCGAAAGGCUGACGCAGCGACGCCGCGUGGAGGAUGACGCCCUUCGGGGUGUAAACUCCUGUUGCCCGGGACGAAUACCCGUUUCGACGGGGGUGACGGUACCGGGUGAGGAAGCAUCGGCUAACUCUGUGCCAGCAGCCGCGGUAAUACAGAGGGUGCGAGCGUUGUCCGGAAUCACUGGGCGUAAAGGGCGCGUAGGCGGCUGGGUAAGCGUGUGGUGAAAGCCCGGGGCUCAACCCCGGGUCGGCCAUGCGAACUGUCCAGCUGGAGCACGGUAGAGGCACAUGGAAUUCCGGGUGUAGCGGUGGAAUGCGUAGAGAUCCGGAAGAACACCGGUGGCGAAAGCGGUGUGCUGGGCCGUGGCUGACGCUGAGGCGCGACAGCGUGGGGAGCAAACA
rnacentral:rRNA from 1 species